rnacentral:rRNA from 1 species
GAUGAACGCUGGCGGCGUGCCUAAUACAUGCAAGUCGAGCGAACGGACGAGAAGCUUGCUUCUCUGAUUUUAGCGGCGGACGGGUGAGUAACACGUGGAUAACCUACCUAUAAGACUGGGAUAACUUCGGGAAACCGGAGCUAAUACCGGAUGAUAUUUUGAACCGCAUGGUUCAAAAGUGAAAGACGGUCUUGCUGUCACUUAUAGAUGGAUCCGCGCUGCAUUAGCUAGUUGGUAAGGUAACGGCUUACCAAGGCAACGAUGCAUAGCCGACCUGAGAGGGUGAUCGGCCACACUGGAACUGAGACACGGUCCAGACUACUACGGGAGGCAGCAGUAGGGAAUCUUCCGCAAUGGGCGAAAGCCUGACGGAGCAACGCCGCGUGAGUGAUGAAGGUCUUCGGAUCGUAAAACUCUGUUAUUAGGGAAGAACAUAUGUGUAAGUAACUGUGCACAUCUUGACGGUACCUAAUCAGAAAGCCACGGCUAACUACGUG